rnacentral:rRNA from 1 species
GACAGAGGGUGCAAACGUUGCUCGGAAUUACUGGGCGUAAAGGGCGCGUAGGCGGCCUGCUAAGUCGAACGUGAAAUCCCUGGGCUCAACCCAGGAACUGCGUCCGAUACUGGUUGGCUUGAAUCCGGGAGAGGGAUGUGGAAUUCCAGGUGUAGCGGUGAAAUGCGUAGAUAUCUGGAGGAACACCGGUGGCGAAGGCGACAUCCUGGACCGGUAUUGACGCUGAGGCGCGAAAGCCAGGGGAGCAAACGGG